AACGCGAAGAACCUUACCAAGGCUUGACAUCACCCGAAAACCCGCAGAGAUGCGGGGUCCUUUUGGGCGGGUGACAGGUGGUGCAUGGCUGUCGUCAGCUCGUGUCGUGAGAUGUUGGGUUAAGUCCCGCAACGAGCGCAACCCUCGUUCCAUGUUGCCAGCAACCUCUUCGGAGGGUUGGGGACUCAUGGGAGACUGCCGGGGUCAACUCGGAGGAAGGUGGGGAUGACGUCAAGUCAUCAUGCCCCUUAUGUCUUGGGCUGCAAACAUGCUACAAUGGCCGGUACAGAGGGCUGCGAUACCGUAAGGUGGAGCGAAUCCCUAAAAGCCGGUCUCAGUUCGGAUUGGGGUCUGCAACUCGACCCCAUGAAGUCGGAGUCGCUAGUAAUCGCAGAUCAGCAACGCUGCGGUGAAUACGUUCCCGGGCCUUGUACACACCGUACGUC
rnacentral:rRNA from 1 species